GGCCAGAUAAGGCGUUCACGCCGCAUCUGGCGUCUGGAGCAAAUGCCUGAUGCGACGCUUGUCGCGUCUUAUCAGGCC
rnacentral:ncRNA from 2 species